GGUACCUGAUCUCGUUAUUAACCA
rnacentral:siRNA from 1 species